GUCUACGGCCAUACCACCCUGAACAUGCCCGAUCUUGUCUGAUCUCGGAAGCUAAGCAGGGUUAGGCCUGGUUAGUAUUUGGAUGGGAGGUAAUGUCAAAACAGAGAGCACAUACUUUAUACC
rfam:Erinaceus europaeus unplaced genomic scaffold scaffold00048, whole genome shotgun sequence